rnacentral:rRNA from 1 species
AUACUAGGUGUUGGGGGGCAAGCUCUUCGGUGCCGGCGCUAACGCAUAAGUAUCCACCUGGGGGAGUACGUCGCAAGAAUAAAACUCAAAGGAAUUGACGGGGACCCGCACAAAGCGGUGGAGCAUGUGGUUUAAUUCGAAGCAACGCGAAGAACCUUUACCAGGUCUUGACAUCGAUCUGAAUGUGAUGCAAAAGUCGCAGCCCUUCGGGGCAGAGAAGACAGGUGGUGCAUGGUUGUCGUCAGCUCGUGUCGUGAGAUGUUGGGUUAAGUCCCGCAACGAGCGCAACCCUUGUCCUAAGUAGCCAGCGGUUCGGCCGGGCACUCUUGGGAGACCGCCGGGGAUAACCCGGAGGAAGGUGGGGAUGACGUCAAAUCAUCAUGCCCCUUAUGAUCUGGGCUACACACGUGCUACAAUGGCGUAAACAAAGGGAGGCGAAGGAGCGAUCCGGAGCAAAUCCCAAAAAUAACGUCUCAGUUCGGACUGCAGGCUGCAACUCGCCUGCACGAAGCUGGAAUCGCUAGUAAUCGCGGAUCAGCAUGCCGCGGUGAAUACGUUCCCGGGUCUUGUACACACCGCCCGUCACACCAUGGGAGUCGGUAAUGCCCGAAGCCAGUGGCUCAACCUUUUGGAGGGAGCUGUCGAAGGCAGGACUGAUAACUGGGGUGAAGUCGUAACAAGGUA